AAUUCUAAAUUGAAAUUUCUUGAAUUCCUUCGAACUUCUUGAAUUCUUUGUCCCCAUAGACCAAAUUUGUAUUUACUCUUUGGUUUUUUUAUUUUUUGAUGCUAGACAAAUUCUAUUUUAAAUAAUUAUAACACUCACGUGAAAAAAUAUUGGAGUGAAAUGCACUUAGUUGCAUGUGUAGUGAAGAUCCCCGAAUGCGAAAGUAUUGUGUUCAGACUCACAACCGUAACCAAGUAACGUAUUGAGGGCAAGGCGAAGUUGUGAUGUGAGGCGAGGCGAGGCGAGGCGAGGAGCUUCAAGGAGAGGGACGUUACAUCGCUUCGUAUGUUCCUUAUUAGGUCAACUCUUGUCUACUCCACCACCUGCAUAACAUGGACGGAGCGGUGGGACGGAGCGUGCUGGUCCACAGGCCGUUGAGGUAUUCAAUUUCUUACAAUUU